rnacentral:rRNA from 1 species
AUUCCAGCUCCAAUAGCGUAUAUUAAAGUUGUUGCAGUUAAAAAGCUCGUAGUUGAAUUUUGGACCUGGUUGAAUGGUCCCCCCGCAAGGUGGGUACUGUUUGAUUAGGUCUUUCUUUGCGGGGAAUUAGUGUGCUCUUAAUUGGGUGCAUUAAGGAUCCGUAACUUUUACUUUGAAAAAAUUAGAGUGUUUAAAGCAGGCUUAGGCCUGAAUACAUUAGCAUGGAAUAAUAGAAUAGGACCUGUGUUCUAUUUUGUUGGUUUCUAGGACGUAGGUAAUGAUUAAUAGGGACAGUUGGGGGCAUUAGUAUUUAAGUGUCAGAGGUGAAAUUCUUGGAUUGCUUAAAGACUAACUUCUGCGAAAGCAUUUGCCAAGGAUGUUUUCAUCA